AUGAUUCAGAACUCAGAUGAAAUAAAAAUAGAGACACAUAGUCAGUUAAUUAGUGAUUCACUGGUGUGCCCAUCCACAUACACGGAUAAACAUUCUGGUCACACGUUGCAUUUAGAAGCUAAAAUAAGCAUACAACCAAACAUACAGAAACAGGUGGAGUCAGGGACACAUCAGCAGAUAAAUGGACAGAUAGAAACAAACACAAAAGUAGGAUCAAGCCUUGACCAUCAAAGACAGGAAUUAGGACUCCCAGAACAGCUGAGUUCUGAGGGUAAACAAUUGAUCUGCUCCCCACCUCCAGAACCCGAAGCUCAUCUUUCCCUGGCUGAGGCUCCACCUGCCCUGUUACUGGACUCUCCACAGGGGCCUGAGCAAAAUGAUAACCAGGAUCAGACAGAUGGACCCUGCAAAUCAAUAUCAGAAGGUGAAACCAUACACCACAACCACUGUACAACAGGGGAAGUCAAACAUGAGAAAAAUGUGUCUGCUGUUGUGAUUGAUUUCUGCCAAGCUACAACAGCCCCUGAACAUGAGCCUAUAGGGAGAUGUGACUUAGAGACAUAUGCACUGGAGCAGGAGAAUGGACCUCCUUUAGGCGGUGGAGCUGGCGCACACGCACCACUGUGGGGGAAUUCACAUGCUUUGAGCCUAGCCAGUGCAGAAGAGAGUGCCCUUGAAUGGGAUUCAGCAGAGUCCACUGCCUCCACAUUGCUACAAACAACACCCACGAUGCCAGAAAUGAUAGAAAGCGAGGGAGAGAAGAAGAGAGGUGGUGCCUCAAUAAUAUUACAAGCAGCAGAGAGAGAAUCGGCAGUGCUGGAAGCGGAUGAGUCUCCGAGCUCAGAGGAAACAUUAAGUGAAUUUAUAGCUGAAAAGGGACAAGAAUGCACCUCAGUAAUUUUUCCAGACAUUAAGUGCUCACCUGUUCAGAAAGAGGAGGCGACUGAGGAGAGCUGUGGCAGCUCGACGGAGAGUGAGGGAAAGGGUGGGGGUCUGCUGAUUGCACUCUCCCCAGCCGGAGACAUCGAUACAGGCACGGUGGGCACAGAGGACAAAGCUUUGGUCACCUAUUCCUCUCCAUGUGUCCUUGGAACAUGUGACUGGAAGGUGGAGAGUUCCCGAUCAAAGGAGAGAAAAGAAGAGAGCGAAGAGGAGGGGAAAAAGGCAAGCAAAGGCGGAGCACGGAACGCAGCACAUGCCGGCAGGGUGUUACAGACAGAGGCAGCGACCGAGACGUGUCCAUCCCAUUGCAUCACAGCAUCACCAACGGCAACACAAGACCAGAGUGACCUCAUCCAUCCUGUCACAGCAGGCACAGCCCCAUUUCCUCUGACCAUCAACAGAAUAAACGACUGCGACUCCAUCAGCCCACCCCCUCCUCUUUCCCACAUAAACUCUACAAAGACAGAAGCGCAGAGAGAGGAAGAGGCUAAUCUGAAUCCGAGCCCAAUUGCAUCAGGAGCAGACCUGCCAGGCAGUGAUAGAUCACUUCCACCAGCAGUUUAUUUCGAAAACGAAUGUCUCUCUGUGCAAGCCAACGAUCAACAGGUACAGAGCUCUUCACAGACUAGAACCGCAAGCUGUGACACAUCCAUCAAGACAGAGACACAGCAACAAAGACAAGAAAUAUUUCCUACAAGUGAAGAGACAUCUCAAUUUACUAAGCUACAAGUAAACAUGAGGGAUAUCGCCGCAAGUUGUACCAAAGUGGAAGGGUCUCCAAAAGGUAUGCAGAGCUCUUUUGAGAACCAAAAUGAUACAACACUGAAAUGCCAAAUGACUGAAUGUGCCUCUUUGCCCCCAUUGAUGGUAUUUGAAAGUCUACAUCAUCCAGUAAAAGAGGCUAGCUUCAACUUUAAAGGUUUUCUCAGCAUCAGCAAACCAGCACUUCCUCUUCAGACAGAACCGACCACUGGCCAGAGAAAUACUGACCUGCAUGGAGCAGAAAGGGAACAUACUGCCUCUGAAGAAGGUAAAGAUGAAAAAAAUGAAAAGCAAAAAGAAAAAGUGGAAAUGACAUUUAAAGAGUCAAAGGAUUGGAGAGAAAUGACCUGUACAUCUCAAACGCAGGGUGAUCCUACUGUAAAACUUGGCGCUAAUGUUAAUGUAAAUAUGAGUAGCUGUGAAGACGAUGGAAAAGUGACAGAUGGAACUCUUGAUGUCAGCAAGGGAAAUCCUGUUUCAUCACUGUCAGCUGCAGGUGAGACCACCUGUGUUAAUGAAUCUAAGGAUGUGGUUAAUGAAACUCUGGCAGCAACUGAAGUAAUUAAAGAGAAGCAAGAAAAUAAAGAAUGUUUGAAUGUUACUCAGACCACCCCAAAUAAUAUAGAUGAGUCAGCAUCUGCUGAGAAGAACAGUGUUUUACUACCGGAUGUAACUCCACAAGAGGGUCGUAACAGCAGCCCUGCUCUUAAUGGUGAGAGGGCUGAUAUGACUGUGUCUGAAGGAGUUGAACAAAGACAUACAGAAAUUCUGUUUACCACCAAGGAAAAGCUGGAUGAAGAGAUUGAUGAACCAAAGGGAUGUGGGUUGCCUGAAACAGGUGAUAUAGAACCAACAUGUCCAGGUAAUUCAGAAAAUCUUGUGAAUGAUAGUCGAGAGCAUGAGUCAAAGCCAGAAAAAUACACAUGUGAAGUUGAAACAAAGGUAAAAAUCAGCUCCAUGUCUCCAGCAGCUGCCCCAGACAUAGACAGCAUGUGCCCUUACACUCAACCAGACAAGAAAUCCAACACUGAGCAGCCUACUAUAAUCUCAGAGAUGCAAUUUCUGUCAAAAGCAGAUAAGUGUGAAUCACAGUUCAGUAAUGAAAUGAUGAAAAAUAAUGCAGCGGAUGCUAGGGACACAACAGUCCCUUCUCUUCCUCCAGCGGUGACUACAGUACCAGCACAAAGGGAUCGUUCCUCAAUUACCACACAAAGCACUAACAGUGAUGCCAGGGAUGUGUCUGUCAUUGUACUAAAGGCUCCAGGCCCAAUGCUGAGUCACUGUGAGUCUGUUAAUGACUGUGAUAUUGCUGUAGCAGAACCCGGGGAGGAUUGCAGUGUGAACUGUGUGUGUGAUUCUGAGACUGAGAUUGUAAAGAAUAUUACGGACAAAUCUAAUCAACAACUGGAUGUGAAUGAAGAGAGGUUAAGAUCUCAAAAUGCAGAUGAUCUGCUUUACCCUGUUGCUGUCUCCACACAGGAAAUUGCAGCAUCAUCUGGAAACCAUUUGCUUACAACUGACAGACCAGACCAGGCAGGUGAUUCACCGCUGGUGUUAAAGAACCUGGAUAUUGUUGGAAAUGCAAAGAUGAAACAGAAUGACAGAUCUAAGGGUGUUGGAGAAUUGGAGGUUGUUAGAAAAGAGAAGAGUGAAGGACAUUUAAAUUCUGUAUAUGAAAAUGAUUUAUGCAAUGCACCGAUAAAUGCUCCUACAGAAAAUGAGGUUAUUAAUAAUGACACAUCUGAAGAAUUCAAGCACAUGAAAGGGGGAGAGGACAACAAGGAGUGUGUUAAGGAAACCGAAGAAAAAAUCAAUGCAGAAAAUGAAACUAGUUCCUCUCAGGAAGAAGGGACUGAACAAAAAAAUGAAAAGCAGGGUGAAAGGAAGGAACAAGAAGUAAUGUCUUUUAAGGAGGAGAAGCAUAAUAAAGAAGAGACGAAUUCCUCUAAAACAUCAUGUGCUAAUGAGACACUUAAUUCUCAACCUGCUUUGACAAUGCAACAAAGUCCUAAUGAUGAAAUCAAAUGUGAUUCACAUCUGAUGCACUUGGAGGACAAUCUCGAUACACUUUUGACUGAGGAACCUGUUCAGCAUGUGUCUGACAAUGUAAAAAUGAAUAAAAGUGUAUCCAAAAGAUUCAGUCAGGUGAUGGGAGGAGAGCAGAACAGGGAGAUUAUGCAAGAAAAUGAGGUGCAAAAUGUAAAAUCCAUUGCAGAAAAGGACAGCAAAAAAAGUGCAAAUACCUCUCAAGAACAGAAUGAGAUUGCUGCAAAAGAAAAAGCUGAUCAAACACAAGCAGAAAAUCAGACAUUAAUAAAUCUCUCUAAUCUAUCAGGAGAAAAAAAAUUAUUAGAUGAAACCAUUCCAAGAGGAAAAUUGCAUUCUAGCCCUAUGGAUGAUCCUGGUUUAACCUCUGAAGGGAUUAUAGAAGAGGCUCUGAGUUGUAGAGGGGCACUAACUGAAAAAUCUCCUCCAGUCGUUGAUCACACCAUGUCAGCAGUGGUGAAUGCUUCUCCUAAAAGAGACCACACACAAGAUCCAAGGGGUUUGAGCCAGUCAGAUUUGGCACUUUCACAAUCCGGAGAGCACCAGCUGCAACAGAACUUUAUGAGUGCCCCAAAAGCAAUGUUAAGUGUGAGUAAAAGCAACGUUUUAGAAAAUGCUGAGACCAAUAAUCAUGCAAAUGCUGAGGCAAGUGAAAAGCAAGAGAAGGUGGUGAUGUAUUAUAGUGCAGAGGCUCCAAGUUCCCUAAACAGCACAUCAGAGAGUGCUGCACUGGUGGGGGGCUAUAACAAAGAUGUUGCUGUGUUCAAUAUAUGUCCAGAGAAUGAAAAGAAGACAAUACAAACAAUAGAUCUUAAUGGUGGGAGAUUUCCUGUUUGUGGUGAAAGUACUUCAAGUGAAAUCCAACCUCAGUCAGCUCCCAGCUUGUCUAUAACAGCAUCGUCAGCUUUUGAAACUUUAGAAGUCAAACGGGUUAUAGAGGCUACAGAGGCAAAAGAGCCUGCCAUCUCAGCAUCACAGGAAAGUGUGAGUAAACAUGCAGACUGUACCAAAUCACAGGUCAGCGCGGAUACACAUGGGAAUGUGUGGAACGAAAUCCCUGACACCAAGAAAGGCUCAGAAUUUCCGUUAAAUCACUCAAGUGAGUUUUCUGUGAUUCCCACAUUCUCACACCAUGAGGCAGGGCUAAAAACAGAAGAGAAAUGUUUCGAUUCUGUUACCCCUGGAGACACUGGAAACAUUGAGAUCAGUUCUGAUUCAAUGAGUGAUUUUGCACAGAUGUCUACAGCAGGAACUUCCCAAAUUCAACAAGAGAAAGAAUUCGUUUUUCAGUUCUCUGAUUGCCAGCUCUCCACCACUACAUCCUCUGCUUCUGUCCUCCAAAAAUGUAUUAAAGAGGAAAAAGAGAUAAGUGUGGAUCAGACCCUUAAAGAUGCACUAGAACCUAACACUCCUAAUUCCACUCCCCAAUCUGAGACAGCCACCUGGAAGAUGGAGCAGCUUAAUAAGCAUUUGUCAGUGCAAUUCCCAGAUGGUACCCAAAACACAGAGGAGCAGAAUACACAGUGUUCUGAACAGCAGUUACAACAUGUAAGAACUUGUUUGGACACUAAAAAUACAAUCAGUUCUAUGGAAGAAGAAAACACCAUUUCAAAUGACGUACAACAGCGAGAAGGAAUUCAAGUAGAGAGAAGUAAACAGAUGGUGGAUGAAGAAAAGAACAAGGCCAUUGAAAAUGAUCACAGAGAAAUGUUCAAAGGGGCUGAACCUAAGUCUUCACAGUCUAUAAUUGAAGAAAGCAUCUCCAAAGAAAACCAAAGCAAGUUGGAGGAGCAUUCUUUAUUUUCCCCUGUUGAAGCAAUAGUCGAUAAUGUAGACCAGCAAAUUGAAGAAGUUUCUAAUGGAUCACAGACAGAAAUGAUAGAGGCUGUGUCAUUGUUAUACCCUGAGACCUCUAUUUGCUUGGUGACUGACCCCCAGGAUUCCCACCAGUCCCCUCCUGCAGUCAAUCAACAGUGUAGUCAGCAGUCCACUAAGUCUUUUAUCCAAAACUUACGUGAAAACGCCACAAAGAAAGUUGAAAGUAGAAGUGAGCGAAGUCCUGACAUAGCAGAUAACUCUCCUGGAGACAUAGAAUCCGUUCUAAUCAAAAAAGCGAUAGAGAAAAAUGACAGAGAAGAUGAAGUCAGUAAGGUGUCAACAGCUGCAGAUGUGUUGCUGGGUUCAGGCACAAGAACAGAGCAGAUAUCACAGGUUAUCGACAGUUCAGACAGCCAAAUGCUAAGUGCAGUCUUUGUACCUGAGAGGUCAGAUGUAGUCAACUCUGAAGGGUCUGAUUGGCUCAGAGCUCUGAAGGAUGCAGCCUCCAUGUCUCAGAUCAUUCCAGAGCACAGAGAUGAGUCUACCUGUGGAUCUACAGAAAACAGGCCAUUUGAGACCCUCUGUUCACCUCAGACUGAUCUAGAAUUCCGAACCCCAACUGAAGAAUAUUUUCCCCCUGCACCUGAAGAUAGUUUUCCCCUGGAACUUGAGGAGAGUUUUCCUCCUGCACCUGAGGAGAGUUUUCCUCCUGCUCCUGAGGAGAGUUUUCCUCCUGCACCUGAGGAGAGUUUUCCUCCUGCACCUGAGGAGAGUUUUCCUCCUGCUCCUGAGGAGAGUUUUUCUCCUGCUUCUGAGGAGAGUUUCCCACCUGCACCUGAGGAGAGUUUCCCACCUGAACCUGAGGAGAGUUUUCCUCCUGCUCCUGAGGAGAGUUUCCCGCCUGCACCUGAGGAGAGUUUUACCCCUAUCACUAAGCAGCCAGAAGACCCACCAGACUGCAGGUCUCCUCUGGUAGAGGCUGCUGAGAGCGGUGAGCCUGUCCCCUCUCCCUUAUCACCCCUACCACAGCACCCUGCCCUCUCUGCCCACCUGCUCCAGGAAACGGUCGAUUUCCCCACACCGCCCCCUACCCCUCCGGACAGGGCUCCCCCUGAGCCUCAGACCCUUCCUCCUGCUCCUGCUCCUUCUGGUCUACCCGAGGCUCCCCCUGCUGCCCCUGUGCCUCCUCAAAUCCAACAGCUCCAGCACGCUGAGCCUUCAGCAAGGAGUUCAGACUCGACGGAGCAUUCGAAACCCCUGAGUCCACCACCCCUGUGAAGUCUGCUUCCCCACGAGUGCCUCCAACAGAGCCCCCCUGCACCAACUCAGAGGCAUUGUCCCAAGAACACACAGCUUCCACUGCUGUCAUCUCUGCCAGCGAAGCUCAAGACCCAAAUCAGCUUCAAUCUCCCAGUCGCUCUCAAUCUAUAGUCUUUGAUGAGGACAAACCAAUAGCAGCUAGUGGCACCUACAACCUACAAUACUUAAUUGCUGAUGACCCCUUCCCAGAAUCAAAUUUUGGGUCUGGACCAUCAAGCCGAGCGCCUCUCACCCGCUCUCUAAGCCUGCAGUCCGGUGAGUUAGAGAGCCCAGGAGACAAAUCCUCAGGAGGAACCUCCGACAAACCCAUUCACCCACGAGCAGAGUCCUUCAACAUAGGAACAGAAAGUGCUUCGGGAACUCUUCGUAAAGUGAAGAAGCCCCGUCCAGGUUCCCUAAAGAAGAAACCACUUUCCCGGCAGAACUCAAACCCAGA